CUUCCAUGACAGAGUAAAGCCUCAGGAACUCUGUUGUGUACUCUUUCAUUGAACCCGUUCGAUUAUGGUUGCUCACCGCAACCUCUAUAUCGAUGCACUCUCCAGGCCCAAAGAACUUCAAAAAUUUCACCACAAACUGCGACCAUGAAUCCAAGCUGUGGUAGGGCUCGUACAAGUCUGACAUCCAUGGAAUCGCAUCCCUCUGUAAGUGAAGGGACGCAAUCUCCACUUUCUUCUCCUCAGAGUCUUGAGGUACUUGACGUAAAGCUCCGCGAGGGAGAGCCAGUCUACUGGGUUGUCGUUUCCUCCGUGAAAACAGGGAAGUUCAGGUUCAUUGUGAGGAGGACCCAUCCUUUGUUCUUGAUUGUUCAAACCCAACUCUAAGUUGUCGGAUUUCUUCCAAAAGCAUUUGCUGGAAGUGAGUUUGUGCGGAGGCCAUGGAGUUUAUCGAGUUCUGUAGCUCCUGAAGCGAAGCCUGAGUUUUUCUUUGUGGAGUUGUAGCUCCAACUCUAGGGAACCCAUUUCUUGUGGAGAAAUAGGGUUUUUGCCCAUGUUCUCGGAACCAAGCUCUGAUACCCAAAUAGGAUCAGAAGGGGAAGAGGAAGAAGAAGACAAAAGGAAUAUCAGAGGUGGUCAAAAGUGGAGCCCUAGAGGCUAUUUAAGAAAAAUGAGUAGGCCAAUCGAAUCAGCAGCC
rnacentral:lncRNA from 1 species